rnacentral:rRNA from 1 species
GGUCAAGUUACUAAGGGCGCAUGGGGGAUGUCUUGGCGUUAGAAGGCUUUGAAGGGCGUGGAAGUCUGCGAAAAGCUUGGGGGAGUUGACAAACGAAUAUUGAUCCCGAGAUACCCGAACAGACGCAUACUGAAUACAUAGGUAUGCGUAGCCAACCCAGGGAAGUGAAACAUCUAAGUACCUGGUGGAAAAGAAGAAAAUCGAUUCCGUUAGUAGCGGCGAGCGAAAUCGGAAUAGCCCAAACCGCGAGGGUUUUCCCUCACGGGGUUGUAGGGUCUUUCACAUGAGAGUUACCAAACAGUCGACUAGUGGAAUGGCUUGGAAAGGUCAACCAUAGACGGUGACAGUCCGGUACACGAAAGUUGUAUUGUCUCUCGAAGGAUACCUGAGUAGGUCGGUGCACGUGAAACCCCGACUGAAUCCACGGGGACCAUCCCGUAAGGCUAAAUACUCUCUAACGACCGAUAGUGAACUAAGUAGAGCGAUCGAAAGGUGAGAAGAACCCCGGCUA